UCAUCUUCGGGGGUAGAGCACUGUUUCGGCUAGGGGGUCAUCCCGACUUACCAACCCGAUGCAAACUACGAAUACCGAAGAAUGUUAUCACGGGAGACACACGGCGGGUGCUAACGUCCGUCGUGAAGAGGGAAACAACCCAGACCGCCAGCUAAGGUCCCAAAGUCAUGGUUAAGUGGGAAACGAUGUGGGAAGGCACAGACAGCCAGGAUGUUGGCUUAGAAGCAGCCAUCAUUUAAAGAAAGCGUAAUAGCUCACUGGUCGAGUCGGCCUGCGCGGAAGAUGUAACGGGGCUAAACCAUGCACCGAAGCUGCGGCAGCGACACUAUGUGUUGUUGGGUAGGGGAGCGUUCUGUAAGCCUGCGAAGGUGACCUGUGAGGGUUGCUGGAGGUAUCAGAAGUGCGAAUGCUGACAUAAGUAACGAUAAAGCGGGUGAAAAGCCCGCUCGCCGGAAGACCAAGGGUUCCUGUCCAACGUUAAUCGGGGCAGGGUGAGUCGACCCCUAAGGCGAGGCCGAAAGGCGUAGUCGAUGGGAAACAGGUUAAUAUUCCUGUACUUGGUGUUACUGCGAAGGGGGGACGGAGAAGGCUAUGUUAGCCGGGCGACGGUUGUCCCGGUUUAAGCAUGUAGGCUGGUUGUCCAGGCAAAUCCGGAUAAUCAAGGCUGAGGUGUGAUGACGAGGCACUACGGUGCUGAAGUAACAAAUGCCCUGCUUCCAGGAAAAGCCUCUAAGCAUCAGGUAACAUCAAAUCGUACCCCAAACCGACACAGGUGGUCAGGUAGAGAAUACCAAGGCGCUUGAGAGAACUCGGGUGAAGGAACUAGGCAAAAUGGUGCCGUAACUUCGGGAGAAGGCACGCUGGUGUGUAGGUGAAGUCCCUGCGGAUGGAGCUGAGACCAGUCGAAGAUACCAGCUGGCUGCAACUGUUUAUUAAAAACACAGCACUGUGCAAACACGAAAGUGGACGUAUACGGUGUGACGCCUGCCCGGUGCCGGAAGGUUAAUUGAUGGGGUUAUCCGUAAGGAGAAGCUCUUGAUCGAAGCCCCGGUAAACGGCGGCCGUAACUAUAACGGUCCUAAGGUAGCGAAAUUCCUUGUCGGGUAAGUUCCGACCUGCACGAAUGGCGUAAUGAUGGCCAGGCUGUCUCCACCCGAGACUCAGUGAAAUUGAACUCGCUGUGAAGAUGCAGUGUACCCGCGGCAAGACGGAAAGACCCCGUGAACCUUUACUAUAGCUUGACACUGAACAUUGAGCCUUGAUGUGUAGGAUAGGUGGGAGGCUUUGAAGCGUGGACGCCAGUCUGCGUGGAGCCAACCUUGAAAUACCACCCUUUAAUGUUUGAUGUUCUAACGUUGGCCCCU
rnacentral:rRNA from 1 species